rnacentral:rRNA from 1 species
CCUACGGGAGGCAGCAGUGAGGAAUAUUGGUCAAUGGACGAGAGUCUGAACCAGCCAAGUAGCGUGAAGGAUGACUGCCCUAUGGGUUGUAAACUUCUUUUAUAUGGGAAUAAAAUGUUCCACGUGUGGGAUUUUGUAUGUACCAUAUGAAUAAGGAUCGGCUAACUCCGUGCCAGCAGCCGCGGUAAUACGGAGGAACCGAGCGUUAUCCGGAUUUAUUGGGUUUAAAGGGAGCGUAGGUGGGUUGUUAAGUCAGUUGUGAAAGUUUGCGGCUCAACCGUAAAAUUGCAGUUGAAACUGGCAGUCUUGAGUACAGUAGAGGUGGGCGGAAUUCGUGGUGUAGCGGUGAAAUGCUUAGAUAUCACGAAGAACUCCGAUUGCGAAGGCAGUUCACUGGACUGCAACUGACACUGAGGCUCGAAAGUGUGGGUAUCAAACAGGAUUAGAUACCCGAGUAGUC